AAGAAAGUAAGAAAGGGCGUAUGGCGGAUGCCUAGGCUCACGGAGGCGAUGAAGGACGUGAUAAGCUGCGAUAAGCUUCGGGUAGGUG
rnacentral:rRNA from 1 species